AGAAGAAGAAGAAGACACUCCGGUGCUGCGUCCGAAACCGCCUACUACGUACUAUAUAGUACGCGAAAAGCAGUAGGCGAGGCGAGUAGUAUGUCCGAAUACAUAGUAUUCGAAAAACAGUAUGCGAAAAGUACCCGGAUGACCUACUACUUCCGGUUAGAUUCUGCAGUGUGCAUACAAUGGACGCUUCACUAUCCCAUGAUGCCCCGGACGAGGAGUUAUCCAACGAAGAAGAAGAGGCACGCUGCUGUUUUCGCGCUGAAAUGACAUGACGUGAUGACGACGUAUGUCACGUGAUGUAGCAACAUGGCGGAUGUAGUACGUCCGAAUCUCAUUCAUACUACCAGGAUUCAUACUAUACAGUACCUACUGUUUUAAUGCCAAGUAAGUAGGUACUUCAUCUAAUUCAGUACCUACUAUACAGUAUGCGGUUUCGGACGCAGCCCGGGUGUUGAAGGUGGUCCAUUUCAGAUGCAUUGAUGUGUAGUGAAGCAGAGGACAACUGUGAGGAUUAUACAAUUAACAUGUUCCUAAACUGUGAUGCAGAAACACAAUGGGAACAUAUAUGAGUGCCAUUGUUUUGUCACAAGAUGCGCACCAGUCUUGUUUUUUGUAGGGGUUGUUUGUAAAAACUAAAAUGUCCUAUAUAAAUAAGGUCUAGUCCUGUAAA